UGAGACAGUACAUGGACAAGAUU
rnacentral:piRNA from 1 species